CCUACGGGUGGCAGCAGUGGGGAAUAUUGCACAAUGGGGGAAAGCCUGAUGCAGCAACGCCGCGUGAGCGAAGAAGGACUUCGUGUCGUAAAGCUCUAUCAUCAAGGAAGAUAAUGACGGUACUUGAGGAGGAAGCCCCGGCUAACUACGUGCCAGCAGCCGCGGUAAUACGUAGGGGGCUAGCGUUAUCCGGAAUUACUGGGCGUAAAGGGUGCGUAGGGGGGUUCUUAAGUCAGAGGUGAAAGGCUAAGGCUAAAACGUAGUAAGCCUUUGAAACUGGGAAACUUGAGUGCAGGAGAGGAGAGUGGAAUUCCUAGUGUAGCGGUGAAAUGCGUAGAUAUUAGGAGGAACACCAGUUGCGAAGGCGGCUCUCUGGACUGUAACUGACACUGAGGCACGAAAGCGUGGGGAGCAAACAGGAUUAGAUACCCGUGUAGUC
rnacentral:rRNA from 1 species